GGCUGACUGGUGAAGAGGUAGGAGCUCUCUGUUUGCCUGCCCAAAGGGAUGGACCAGUGACCUGACAGCCAGUGUGACCACAGAAAGCAAUGAAAUCAGCAGCAGGGUUUUGCACUCUCUGUUAUGACUCUCAUCACAUCAGAUUGAUUGCUGCAGUCUCAGGAUCCUGCAGAAAACGUAGGGCCGGAAGAAAGUUGUUAUUCAGGCAAAAUCAUCUCCAGUAGCAGCAGCAGGAACCCAGAAUACACCCAGCUGUGGCAACACCAACAGAUAUAAUGACAAGACACUGCAAGAGUCUGUGUUCAGAGGAGAAAGAAGAGGACUAUCUUGUGAAAAAUUUAAGGAAUACUGAAAAAUGCUAAGAGCAAAACAUCUCUGCAAAGGGGCACUGGAGCAUACCAGAGGCCAUCCGUUGAAUGUACUGCUAUGUGGUCCGUAUUGCUAGACUUCAUCAUAUCUUUGGAGCACGUGCUGCUAGGAACUCCCUAACUCCAGCUAACUGAGUUCAGAGUUUGGCCCUAAAGCUUGAAAUUUCAGAACAAUUGUAAUAAAUAGUAUAGAUUGAAAA